rfam:Ovis aries breed Texel chromosome 2, whole genome shotgun sequence.
UCCCUGGUGGCUCAGAUGGUAAAAGUGUCUGCCUGCAAUGCGGGAAACCCAGGUUUGAUCCCUGGGUUGGGAA